rnacentral:rRNA from 1 species
GAUGAACGCUGGCGGCGUGCCUAAUACAUGCAAGUCGAGCGAACAGACUAGGAGCUUGCUCCUCUGACGUUAGCGGCGGACGGGUGAGUAACACGUGGAUAACCUACCUAUAAUACUGGGAUAACUUCGGGAAACCGGCGCUAAUACCGGAUAAUCUUUUUAACCGCAUGGUUCAAUAUUGAAAGACGCUUUUGCUUUCACUUAUAGUUGUCUCCGCUCCUCAUUAGCUCGUUGGUAAGGUAACGGCUUACCAAGGCAACGAUUCGUAGCCGACGGGAGAGGGGGAUCGGCCACACGGGAACUGAGACACGGUCAAGACUCCUACGGGAGGCAGAAGUAGGGAAUCUUCCGCAAUGGGCGAAAGCCUGACGGAGAAACGCGGGGUGAGUGAUGAAGGUCUUCGGAUCGUAAACCUCUGUUAUUAGGGAAGAACAAAUGUGUAAGUAACUGUGCACGUAUUGACGGUAACUAAUCAGAAAGCCACGGCUAACUACGUG